rnacentral:rRNA from 1 species
GCUUCGGCCAAAGUGAUAGCGACCCUAAUCAUGCUCACGAGAAAAACCUCUAAGGUUAGGCCAUUACAACCCGUACCGUAAACCGACACAGGUAGUCGAGAAGAGUAUUCUAAGGCGCUCGGGUGAGCCACGGAGAAGGAACUAGGCAAAUUGUAGCUGUAACUUCGGGAUAAAGCUAUCCCUCCGCAAGGGGGGAUUCAAUGAAAAGGUUCAACCAACUGUUUAGCAAAAACACAGGGCCCUGCAAAAUCGAAAGAUGACGUAUAGAGCCUGAUACCUGCCCGGUGCUGGAAGGUUAAGGAAGCUUGUCAGCCGUAAGGUGAAGCUUGCGACCGAAGCCCCAGUAAACGGCGGCCGUAACUAUAACGGUCCUAAGGUAGCGAAAUUCCUUGUCGGGUAAGUUCCGACCUGCACGAAUGGUCUAAUGAGUUGAACACUGUCUCCUCCGUGAGCCCGGUGAAAUUGUAGUAUCGGUGAAGAUGCCGGUUACCCGCCACGGGACGAAAAGACCCCGUGAACCUUCACUACAACUUUGCAUUGAUUUUGAGUAACAGAUGUGUAGCAUAGUUGGGAGACUUUGAAGCAGGUGCGCCAGCAUUUGUGGAGUCAACGUUGAAAUACCAACCUUCUGUUACUUAGAGUCUAAUCCCCGCAAGGGGAGACAUUGCAUGGUGGGUAGUUUGACUGGGGUGGUCGCCUCCUAAAGUGUAACGGAGGCUCGCAAAGGUACCCUCAGUACGGUUGGUAAUCGUACGCAGAGCGCAUUAGUAGAAGGGUGCUUGACUGUGAGACUUACCAGUCGAGCAGGUGCGAAAGCAGGCUAAAGUGAUCCGGUGGUUUCCGUAUGGAAGGGCCAUCGCUCAAAGGAUAAAAGGUACUCCCGGGAUAACAGGCUGAUCUCCCCCAAGAGCUCAUAUCGACGGGGAGGUUUGGCACCUCGAUGUCGGUUCGUCACAUCCUGGGGCUGGAGAAGGUCCCAAGGGUUCGGCUGUCCGCCGAUUAAAGUGGCACGUGAACUGGGUUCAGAACGUCGCAAGACAGUUCGGUCUCUAUCUGUGGUGGGCGUUAGUAAAUUGAGAGGACAUGCUCUUAGUACGAGAGGACCGGAGCGUAUGUACCGCUGGUGUAUCUGUUGUUCCGCCAGGGGCAGUGCAGAGUAGCUAUGUACAGUCAGGAUAAGCGCUGAAAGCAUCUAAGCGCGAAACCUUCCUCAAGAUGAGUUUACUUUUAAGGGCCGUGGAAGACUACCACGUCGAUAGGCUAUAGGUGUAAAGGUGGUAACAUCAAAGCCGAGUAGUACUAAUUGCCCGUAAGCUUUAAG